ACCAGCGUGGUGUAGUGGUUUGAAUGUUGGACUAUGACUCUGGAGAUCGGGGUUCAAAUCCUAGCUUGGCG